GCGCGUAUGGCGGAAUUGGUAGACGUGCAAGCUUGAGGGGUUUGUGUCCAUAUGGACGUGCUGGUUCGACUCCAGUUACGCGCACAA
rnacentral:tRNA from 1 species